rnacentral:rRNA from 1 species
AAAUUGAAGAGUUUGAUCAUGGCUCAGAUUGAACGCUGGCGGCAGGCCUAACACAUGCAAGUCGAACGGUAACAGGAAGAAGCUUGCUUCUUUGCUGACG